CUUGCUGUUCCUGCAUGUGUGCUGUUGAAGGUUAUGUACUGUUCAUGUCCCGUUGCAUCAAAAAGGAUACAGCAGAACUGGAAAAGUGCUUCAGUCUGCUGAGGAGCCCUAAACAUGCACCUCUGAAAUGUGUUUCAGGCAGUAAUACGGUGAUUCCCAUAGUCUUAAUGCCCUUCCAGAGGCAUCAGAAGCUGGGAUUUGGCCAUUGCUGGAGGUGGACUUCUACACAGAGUUUAGGUUUGCCCCAAAAUAUCCGUUCUUAUGUUAACUCGAAACUUCUGCCUCCAUUCCCUGUCGGUCUGACCAAGGAGCAGACGGUUGAUGCAGACAGAGCAACAGAGGGAUCUUUGCUCUACAUGAGAAUGGCAACGGUGUAUCACACAUGCCACUCCUUUAUGGCGUUUGCAGUCAACUUCUCAUGAAAAGGGACAAAUCUCUUAUCUUGCCUAGCAGCAGUCUGUUACAAAGCACUUUAGAAACAGAGAUCUAAAGAAGCAGGAAGAGUGAAACAGAAGUUAUCAGGAUCAGCACCAUGGAGAACUAUUGAUUCUCCUGACACAAAAGGCUUUGGUUUCUCACACUCUGUAUGACCAUCCCACUCUUGGUUGUAUGAGAAGAUGAACACAGGUAAGAUUUUCAAUAAGAUUUACUACCUUUUAUUUGCUUAUAACCUAUGAUGAUGUUCUGUUGAAUGUGCAUUUAAUUUUUAAACACUUAUGCCAUGACUACUUUGUGCAGCCAGACUUUAUAGCUGGUUUAUGCACCCAGCACUGAACCGAUAGGUGCACAGAGAUCAUGGAGACCUCAUGGAGAUCUCACAGGCUUUGUUUUUUGAGCAGCAUUGAUGAAGCUUUCCCUUGGUCAUUCAUCAUGCUGCUACAGUUGAUUCUCACCUUGAAGUUCAUGGUAAGUAGCUCUUUUGUGACAUUUUGGAAGGUGAGAAACACGUGAUAAAAACAACCCGGUCCAAAACAAGCAUCAGUGAAAUAGAAGAUGGGUUAGCAAGAUCUCGGGGAAACAGGCAUCCCACCAGAAAAGCCAACAGGGAAGAUCUCCUGGAAUUCUACCUCCGUAUGCAGGAUGAGCAAGAUGACAUCUUCACUCUGCCAUGUCCCAACUCCUUGAGGAGAGGUAACUAGAAAACUCCCUACAUAGAUUCCCACAAUUUGGGAAAUAGAUACUCCUGAGAAGGGCACACUGAUUAAAAGAACAGGUUAUCUUUGCUUUGAUUCUUAAUGGCCUACUGAAAUCUAGGCUUGGGAGACAAGGGGUUCCCAAAUUCUGCUUACAUAAUUCAGAUUCACUGCCGCAAGCAGCCUUACCAUGUGAUUUUAUCGACAUGUGACCUAAUCAGAAUGAAAGGGAACAUCAAUUGUGUAGGAUACAACAAACAUUGAAAAGGAUUAUCAGAGUUUGACCUUCUGAAGACAAAAAUAAACAUUCCUACUGAAAUUCCCUAGAGAAAGAU
rnacentral:lncRNA from 1 species